CGGACCAUAAGGCAGCACGCUGCCGAAAUCGUCUGCAAUCCGGUCAGCAUCACGUAAUGUGGUGUGACGAUUAUUCAAACAGCUGCCCCUCCGCAGCGCCUCA
rnacentral:ncRNA from 1 species